rnacentral:rRNA from 1 species
AAACCAAAGCUGGCGACCGGCGGCACGGGUGAGUAACACGUAUCCAACCUGCCUCAUACUCGGGGAUAGCCUUUCGAAAGAAAGAUUAAUAUCCGAUAGCAUAUAUUUCCCGCAUGGGUUUUAUAUUAAAGAAAUUCGGUAUGAGAUGGGGAUGCGUUCCAUUAGUUUGUUGGGGGGUAACGGCCCACCAAGACUACGAUGGAUAGGGGUUCUGAGAGGAAGGUCCCCCACAUUGGAACUGAGACACGGUCCAA